AUAUUUUGAUGCAGAUGCUUGGGUUUAACUUCAGGGGAAAGGUUGGCUGAGGCUGGUGGCUUAGACCUGAGCACUUUGGAGGGGCAUUUUUGUAGGAUUCUGGGGUUUUCAGUCAAAGACGGGGGAAAAACUCACUUCAAUCCUCUACAAGAUCCACGUGGAGGACCCAGUCUAUACGCAGCAUCUCUGUUUGCCAAGAGGGAGAAGAUGUGUUUCCUCUCCUUAUCCUAAAGCACUUGAGGAGUCAGAGUUGCCUUGACACAGCCAGGAGCACUGGGAUGAAGGGAGAAGCCCUUGCAGGAAGUUUUACCCACAGCUGUGGUCCUGAGCACCGACUGGAGAGAGGCAGCUCCUGAACUACCCACACACUGGGAAUGCGAAUGCUUUGUUUCAAUAACAUUUAACAGCGAUUGCCUCGGCAACCUCUGGCCUGCUGUGAUUAAAUAUUAAUAUGCUU